rnacentral:lncRNA from 1 species
GUGAGGCGAAGCUGAGCAGGAAUGGCCCUGUGGACCUCUGUGAUGGGACAUCUGGUGGAAUCUCACAGGCAGUUCUGUGGCAAAGAUGGAUGAAAGCUAAGGACUCAUGAGGAAGCUGGAUAACUGAACAAAGCCAUGUACAAGAAUGGGAAGCCAGAAAAUGGGAUGGUGGAGUUUGAAUCAGGUGGACAGUUCUAAAAGUACAAAUGAUUUCGUAUAAAGGUACCACAUGUGGGUCCCUUUAACUGAAGGCAUGGCAAGCUCCACACAAGGUCCUUCAUUUCUGAAUUUCAAGGGCUCCUCUGACAAGUGGACAGUGCAGUGGGUGCACCUUUUCCAGAGGUGACUGGAUGGAUGCUUGAACAGAAGAUUUGCCAAAUAGACAUUGUGCUGUCAAGAAUUUUACCAUUAAAAGUGCAUUAUUGUAGC